rnacentral:rRNA from 1 species
AGUGAACGCUGGCGGUAGGCCUAACACAUGCAAGUCGAACGGCAGCACAGUAAGAGCUUGCUCUUACGGGUGGCGAGUGGCGGACGGGUGAGGAAUACAUCGGAUUCUACUUUUUCGUGGGGGAUAACGUAGGGAAACUUACGCUAAUACCGCAUACGACCUACGGGUGAAAGCAGGGGAUCUUCGGACCUUGCGCGAUUGAAUGAGCCGAUGUCGGAUUAGCUAGUUGGCGGGGUAAAGGCCCACCAAGGCGACGAUCCGUAGCUGGUCUGAGAGGAUGAUCGGCCACACUGGAACUGAGACACGGUCCGGACUCCUACGGGGGGCAGCAGUGGGGAAUAUUGGACAAGGGGGGCAAGCCUGAUCCAGCCAUACCGCGGGGGUGAAGAAGGCCUUCGGGUUGUAAAGCCCUUUUGUUGGGAAAGAAAAGCAGCAGGUUAAUACCCCGCUGUUCUGACGGUACCCAAAGAAUAAGCACCGGCUAACUUCGU